rnacentral:rRNA from 1 species
GACGGAGGGUGCAAGCGUUGUUCGGAAUUACUGGGCGUAAAGCGUGCGCAGGCGGUUUUUUAAGUCGGAUGUGAAAUCCCCGAGCUCAACUUGGGAAUUGCAGUGGAUACUGGCAAGCUGGAGUAUGGUAGAGGAAGGUGGAAUUCCCGGUGUAGCAGUGAAAUGCGUAGAGAUCGGGAGGAACACCAGUGGCGAAGGCGGCCUUCUGGACCAAUACUGACGCUCAUGCACGAAAGCGUGGGGAGCAAACAGG